CACGUAGGGUGCGAGCGUUGUCCGGAAUUAUUGGGCGUAAAGAGCUCGUAGGCGGUGUGUCGCGUCGGCCGUGAAAACCUGCAGCUUAACUGUGGGCUUGCGGUCGAUACGGGCAUCACUGGAGUUCGGCAGGGGAGACUGGAAUUCCUGGUGUAGCGGUGAAAUGCGUAGAGAUCCGGAGGAACACCGAAGGCGAAGGCAGUGUCCUGGCGAGUGACUGACGCUGAGGUGCGAAAGCCAGGGGAGCGAACGGG
rnacentral:rRNA from 1 species